GCUUACGGCCACACCGGCCUGAGUACGCCUGAUCUCGUCCGAUCUCGGAAGCUAAGCAGGGUCAGGCCUGGUUAGUACUUGGAUGGGAGACCGCCUGGGAAUACCAGGUGCUGUAAGCU
ensembl:rRNA 5S_rRNA 5S ribosomal RNA